UUAAAUUGAAGAGUUUGAUCAUGGCUCAGAUUGAACGCUGGCGGCAGGCCUAACACAUGCAAGUCGAACGGUAACAGGAAGAAGCUUGCU
rnacentral:rRNA from 10 species